rnacentral:rRNA from 1 species
UACGGAGGGGGCUAGCGUUGUUCGGAAUUACUGGGCGUAAAGCGCGCGUAGGCGGCUUUGUAAGUUAGAGGUGAAAGCCCGGAGCUCAACUUCGGAAUUGCCUUUAAGACUGCAUCGCUAGAAUCUUGGAGAGGCGAGUGGAAUUCCGAGUGUAGAGGUGAAAUUCGUAGAUAUUCGGAAGAACACCAGUGGCGAAGGCGACUCGCUGGACAAGUAUUGACGCUGAGGUGCGAAAGCGUGGGGAGCAAACAGG